UGCCAACCAAAUCUGCCGUGUUCUGUUCACUAAUCGUUCUCGCCUUCGGGGUCAAAGUCCAUUGUGAUUCAUCUUCGGAAUUGCUCUCGGGGAUUGAGAAUGAUAGCAAAAGUGCAAUUAACAAUCUAACCUCAUUAAAUGGUACAGUUCAAAACGAAGUUAAUGAACUUUUAUCCACUGUAAAUUCGACUGUCCAAAGUGUUGUAGACAAUUUAAUAGAUGAGUUAGAUAAAAUUUUAGACGGAGCACAUGGCAAAAAUGUUACACAGUGUGAUGCUACUGGAACAUUAAAUACAAUUUUGGGUUUAGCCGAGCCAACUGUAAAUCAAGUUUUUGUGUGUGUGAAUAACAUUGUUAAUAAGGUUGAUGGUCUUUUAAAUGAUGCUCUAAAUAAUGUUAAUAAAAUUCUGAAAAACGCCUUAGACUUAGUUGGUAACAUCGUGAGUUGUGGACUCUUAAAUUUACUUUGUGUUUUGAAGAUUACAGCAUCUUUAGGGGGAUUACCUAAUGACAUAUCUAAAACACUGACAGAUGCCUUAAACGAUGUGGGGAAACUGUUGGAUACUGUACCUAAUUGUUUGAGUACCAAUUUGGAUUUACUUCAAAAAGCUGGAACGAAUUUACUUAAUAAC